rnacentral:rRNA from 1 species
ACUUGCAGCCAUAUCACCCUGCAGCCCACUGAAGCUAAGCAGGUGUGAGCCUGGUCAGUACCUGGAUGGGAGACCUCCUGGGAAAAACUAAGGUUGCUGCUGGAA